ensembl:snRNA U6 U6 spliceosomal RNA
UCACUUCAGCAGUGCAUAUACUAAAAUUGGAAUGAUAUAGAGAAGAUUGGCAUGUCCCCUGUGCAAAGAUGACACACAAAUCUUUGAAGCGUUCCAUAUUUUU